rnacentral:misc_RNA from 1 species
GAGGGGGAUGAAGACGAGGAAGACGAAGACGAAGAGGACGGCGAGGGUAGUGAUUAUGGGGAGGAUGCUUUUGAUGCUAUGGACCAGGGUCUCGAUCCGGCGGACUUUGAAAGUGAUGAGGCCUAUGCGAGGGCCCUGCAAGAGGCUGAGGGGAAUGAUUUGGCUGCGCGAUUGAUGGCUCUUGCCGGCUUGAACGGAUGGGGUGCGGCGAAUCAUGGGAAUCACGGCGGUAUUGAUCAGGAUGCCUGGGAAGAUGUUGAUCCAGAUGAGUUGUCAUACGAGGAAUUGAUUGCACUGGGGGAGGUAGUUGGCACAGAGAACAGAGGGCUUUCUACUGAUUCUAUUGCAUCAUUACCUUCAGUUAAAUACAAGGCACAAAG